rnacentral:rRNA from 1 species
UCAGCCGCCGCGGUAAAACCAGCACCUCGAGUGGUCAGGAGGUUUAUUGGGCCUAAAGCAUCCGUAGCCGGUUGCAUAAGUUUUCGGUUAAAUCUAUGCGCUUAACGUAUAGGCCGCCGAAAAUACUGUGCAGCUAGGGAGUGGGAGAGGUACACGGUACUCGAUAGGAAGGGGUAAAAUCCUUUGAUCUAUUGAUGACCACCUGUGGCGAAGGCAGUGUACCAGAACACGUUCGACGGUGAGGGAUGAAAGCUGGGGGAGCAAACCGGAUUAGAUACCCGGGUAGUCCCAGCUGUAAACGAUGCAGACUCGGUGAUGCAUUGGCUUGUGGCCAAUGCAGUGCCGCAGGGAAGCCGUUAAGUCUGCCGCCUGGGAAGUACGUACGCAAGUAUGAACUUAAAGGAAUUGGCGGGGGAGCACA